rnacentral:rRNA from 1 species
GAACGCUGGCGGCGUGCCUAAUACAUGCAAGUCGAGCGAGCAGAACCAGCAGAUUUACUUCGGUAAUGACGCUGGGGACGCGAGCGGCGGAUGGGUGAGUAACACGUGGGGAACCUGCCCCAUAGUCUGGGAUACCACUUGGAAACAGGUGCUAAUACCGGAUAAGAAAGCAGAUCGCAUGAUCAGCUUAUAAAAGGCGGCGUAAGCUGUCGCUAUGGGAUGGCCCCGCGGUGCAUUAGCUAGUUGGUAAGGCAACGGCUUACCAAGGCAAUGAUGCAUAGCCGAGUUGAGAGACUGAACGGCCACAUUGGGACUGAGACACGGCCCAAACUCCUACGGGAGGCAGCAGUAGGGAAUCUUCCACAAUGGACGCAAGUCUGAUGGAGCAACGCCGCGUGAGUGAAGAAGGUUUUCGGAUCGUAAAGCUCUGUUGUUGGUGAAGAAGGAUAGAGGCAGUAACUGGCCUUUAUUUGACGGUAAUCAACCAGAAAGUCACGGCUAACUACGUGCCAGCAGCCGCGGUAAUACGUAGGUGGCAAGCGUUGUCCGGAUUUAUUGGGCGUAAAGCGAGCGCAGGCGGAAGAAUAAGUCUGAUGUGAAAGCCCUCGGCUUAACCGAGGAACUGCAUCGGAAACUGUUUUUCUUGAGUGCAGAAGAGGAGAGUGGAACUCCAUGUGUAGCGGUGGAAUGCGUAGAUAUAUGGAAGAACACCAGUGGCGAAGGCGGCUCUCUGGUCUGCAACUGACGCUGAGGCUCGAAAGCAUGGGUAGCGAACAGGAUUAGAUACCCUGGUAGUCCAUGCCGUAAACGAUGAGUGCUAAGUGUUGGGAGGUUUCCGCCUCUCAGUGCUGCAGCUAACGCAUUAAGCACUCCGCCUGGGGAGUACGACCGCAAGGUUGAAACUCAAAGGAAUUGACGGGGGCCCGCACAAGCGGUGGAGCAUGUGGUUUAAUUCGAAGCAACGCGAAGAACCUUACCAGGUCUUGACAUCUAGUGCCAUCCUAAGAGAUUAGGAGUUCCCUUCGGGGACGCUAAGACAGGUGGUGCAUGGCUGUCGUCAGCUCGUGUCGUGAGAUGUUGGGUUAAGUCCCGCAACGAGCGCAACCCUUGUUAUUAGUUGCCAGCAUUAAGUUGGGCACUCUAAUGAGACUGCCGGUGACAAACCGGAGGAAGGUGGGGAUGACGUCAAGUCAUCAUGCCCCUUAUGACCUGGGCUACACACGUGCUACAAUGGGCAGUACAACGAGAAGCGAGCCUGCGAAGGCAAGCGAAUCUCUGAAAGCUGUUCUCAGUUCGGACUGCAGUCUGCAACUCGACUGCACGAAGCUGGAAUCGCUAGUAAUCGCGGAUCAGAACGCCGCGGUGAAUACGUUCCCGGGCCUUGUACACACCGCCCGUCACACCAUGGAAGUCUGCAAUGCCCAAAGCCGGUGGCCUAACCUUCGGGAAGGAGCCGUCUAAGGCAGGGC